rnacentral:rRNA from 1 species
AGAUUGAACGCUGGCGGCGGGCCUAACACAUGCAAGUCGAGCGGCAGCACGGGUACUUGUACCUGGUGGCGAGCGGCGGACGGGUGAGUAAUGCCUAGGAAUCUGCCUGAUAGUGGGGGAUAACGCUCGGAAACGGACGCUAAUACCGCAUACCGUCCUACGGGAGAAAGCAGGGGACCCUUCGGGCCUUGCGCUAUCAGAUGAGCCUAGGUC